AUUGAACGCUGGCGGCAGGCCUAACACAUGCAAGUCGAGCGGAUGAAGGGAGCUUGCUCCUGGAUUCAGCGGCGGACGGGUGAGUAAUGCAUAGGAAUCUGCCUGGUAGUGGGGGAUAACGUCCGGAAACGGGCGCUAAUACCGCAUACGUCCUGAGGGAGAAAGUGGGGGGUCUUCGGACCUCACGCUAUCAGAUGAGCCUAGGUCGGAUUAGCUAGUUGGUGGGGUAACGGCCUACCAAGGCGACGAUCCGUAACUGGUCUGAGAGGAUGAUCAGUCACACUGGAACUGAGACACGGUCCAGACUCCUACGGGAGGCAGCAGUGGGGAAUAUUGGACAAUGGGCGAAAGCCUGAUCCAGCCAUGCCGCGUGUGUGAAGAAGGUCUUCGGAUUGUAAAGCACUUUAAGUUGGGAGGAAGGGCAGUAAGUUAAUACCUUGCUGUUUUGACGUUACCAACAGAAUAAGCACCGGCUAACUUCGUG
rnacentral:rRNA from 1 species